rnacentral:rRNA from 1 species
UACGUAGGGGGCAAGCGUUGUCCGGAUUUAUUGGGCGUAAAGAGCGUGUAGGCGGCCGCACAGGUCCGUUGUGAAAACUGGAGGCUUAACCUUCAGACGUCGAUGGAAACCGUGCGGCUAGAGUCCGGAAGAGGAGAAUGGAAGUUCCUGGUGUAGCGGUGAAAUGCGCAGAUAUCAGGAAGAACACCCGUGGCUAAGGCGGUUCUCUAGUACGGUACUGACGCUGAGACGCGAAAGCGUGGGGAGCGAACAGG